GUGGCUCAGUGGUAGAGUGCUUGCUUUGCAUGCAUGAGGUCCUGGGUUCAAUUCCUCAGC
rfam:Dipodomys ordii contig_9577, whole genome shotgun sequence.